rnacentral:tRNA from 1 species
GCGCCCGUAGCUCAGCCGGAUAGAGCGCCGGACUUCGAAUCCGUAGGCCGCAGGUUCGAAUCCUGCCGGGCGUACCA